rnacentral:rRNA from 1 species
CAGUCGCCGCGGUAAAACGUAGGGUGCAAGCGUUGUCCGGAAUCAUUGGGCGUAAAGCGCGCGUAGGUGGCCAUUUAAGUCCGCUGUGAAAGUCAAAGGCUCAACCUUUGAAAGCCGGUGGAUACUGGAUGGCUAGAGUACGGAAGAGGCGAGUGGAAUUCCUGGUGUAGCGGUGGAAUGCGCAGAUAUCAGGAGGAACACCAAUAGCGAAGGCAGCUCGCUGGGACGUUACUGACACUAAGGCGCGAAAGCGUGGGGAGCGAACAGGAUUAGAUACCCCCGUAGUCCCUGUCUCUUAUAC